AUGGAGAGCACGCGCAGAAGGAGAAAAUCAACAGUGAGCAGGUGGAACUACAUAGAAGGAUCCCAAUUAUUUGCUGCCUUUUUCCUAGAGACGGCUAAGCUGCAUUAACAACGACGGGAACCUUCCAGCUUACAUCUGAGCUGCUGACAUAUCCCCUCUCUCACAUCCCUGGACAGGAAUAGAAUCUAAAUAUCC